CGGCCACCAGCAGCGAGAAGAGCGUCACGUUCCAGUAGACCACACCGGGUGGCUCCACGCACAAGCUCCACUGGGUGCGGUUGAGCAGGUAAGAGCCUCUGCGGGGCGGGGCAGGAUCACGUGAGAAACGGAGGCCACGUGCCGCCCCCCGCCCCUCCCGCCCGCGGCUUCCCGCCCCGCGCACGCGCAGAGAGGCAUAUGCCAAGGGAUCGUUUGGCCCACGUGGAGGAAGCUGUCUUGAAGCCGAAUCCUGCCGAAGUUUCCCGGUCCAGGUGGGAAAGGCAGGUGGGCAGAGGCAGAGAAUGCGGCGAGUGAGCGAAUGCAGGCUAAGCCUUACGCGGUCUCUUCGAAGUGGUAACCCCAGGAGUCGUUCAUAAAGCAUUUGGGUCCAGUUCGGAGCCCGGCUCCCGAUACCGAGAGGCAGUAGAUGGCACCCAGCAUCCCGAACGCUGAGCAGAAGACCGAGCGCAGCAUCUGGAGGCAGAAUGCCAGGAGAGCGAUUUCCACAGCAGCCUGUACCACAACAGCCUUUGCCGCCUGCUCGAACAGCAGCGAUUCCCGGACACAGUACCUGUGGGAGGAGAGUCAAUGUCAUAGUGAGUCCCCCAGGCCCCCAACUUGCACCAGGGCUUCCCUCCUCCUCGAAUCUGCCUGUGAUGCCUUCAGCCCUUUGGACUAGAGGAAGACCUUAUCUCUGCUUCUCCUGGAGCUCUGUGGGGCUCUGCCUGAAAUGUAUCUUUGUGUGCCUCCUUAUCUCUGUCUAGAUCGUAGCCUCCAGGAGAGUAGGGCCUAAUAUCAUUAUAUCCCCCAGAAAUCGUAUAGCAGGUGCCCGACUGAAUAAGAGUUAGGAGGCUCACUUCACCCUCCAUGAAAUGAUUCAUCUCUCUGGAUCUCAGUUUUGUCCUCUGUAAAAUGGGCCUCCAUACUUCUCAGGGCUGUUCUCUGGAUAUGCUGAAGUGACAGGUUGACUUGAUAUCAAGACUGGCUCAGAGUAAAUGGUCAAAAACUAUAAAGUCCCUCGGGAGCAGAAGAGAAGAGAGGUGUUGGCGUGUCUGGUGAAGUAAGAUUAUGGUGCAAGGUGGAGGAGAUUGUUUGUGAAGAGUCUGAUGGGGAGAGUAGGAAACCCCAAGAAUACAAUCCCGGUCCUCUCCCUGUGGCCUCACACACAGAGCCCAUCCCCCUCCUAGGGCAUCAGCUGUUCCCUCUAAUAGUCGCCUCCUUAAUUGAUGCCCUGGAAUUAAAAUCUCAUUGCCUGAAGGGUA